GACGAACGCUGGCGGCGUGCUUAACACAUGCAAGUCGAACGGAAAGGCCCUGCUUUUGUGGGGUGCGCGAGUGGCGAAAGGGUGAGUAACACACGAGUAACCUGCCCUUGACUUUGGGGGAACUUCAGUAGACUGGGGGUAAUAUCGGAGAGGAGCUCCUGCUGCACGGCGGGGGUGGGAGAGAUGCGGUGGUGGGGGAGGGGCUCGCGGCUUAUCAGCUUGUUGGGGGGGUAAUGGCGUACCAAGGCGUUGACGGGUAGCCGGCCUGAGAGGGUGACCGGCCACACUGGGACGGAGACACGGCCCAGACUCCUACGGGAGGCAGCAGUGGGGAAUAUUGCACAAUGGGCGCAAGCCUGAUGCAGCAACGCCGCGUGAGGGACGACGGCCUUCGGGUUGUAAACCUCUUUUAGCAGGGAAGAAGCGAAAGUGACGGUACCUGCAGAAAAAGCACCGGCUAACUACGUG
rnacentral:rRNA from 1 species